rnacentral:rRNA from 1 species
UACAGAGGGUGCAAGCGUUGUUCGGAAUUAUUGGGCGUAAAGGGCGCGUAGGUGGCCUUCUAAGUCGAACGUGAAAUCCCCGGGCUCAACCCGGGAACUGCGUCCGAUACUGGAAGGCUUGAAUCCGGGAGAGGGAUGCGGAAUUCCAGGUGUAGCGGUGAAAUGCGUAGAUAUCUGGAGGAACACCGGUGGCGAAGGCGGCAUCCUGGACCGGUAUUGACGCUGAGGCGCGAAAGCCAGGGGAGCAAACGGG